rnacentral:lncRNA from 1 species
UGCUUAUAUGUACUCAAAUAACUAAUUCGUCAACAAAAACUGCUCAAGAUGUCAUAUAUGACUUAUUGACUUUUCACAAUACAGUACACUAUACCAGAAGUCCAACAUGACACAUAUACAUAUAGAACAGAAGUCUCGAGCUCCACAGGCUUGGACCAGAGUAACCAUAUACUUGCCCUCAAGGCCACUAUAUUUUACAAAACCAUAUCUCACAUUGUACUAGUACACAACCACUCAUAACAUAUGCACAUGAUGGAAGUAAGAGUCAUAAACAAACUUUAAAUACAAAACGAGGAUCAAGACACAAUCUUCGAUAUCUACCUGGCGUCGUCACCAUGAUGACCGACCCCAGAGCUCGAUGAUACCAUGUUGCAGUGUGUGACCCAGUAAAACCUACUGUCGCUCUGAAAUGGAAAGUAAAGAUCAGUGCUAAUCACUGAGUGAGGAUCUACGUCCUAGUCACUCUAUGGUACAAAUAUUCAUAUAGAAAGUAUACAACAUAUAACACAUAAGGCUAAUUCUAUAAUAUAAUUUAUAUCCAUAUUUUAUUUGGGAUCCCGACUCACAUGUGCUGACGACCCACGUAGAGUUAGUGGCACUAAAAUGGCCCACAUAGAGUUAGUGUGGCACUUAUUAGUGUGGCUCUUAUCAAAACCCACAACAAUAGUUAGUUGUGGCGCUUACCAAGGCCCACCGCGUAACAGAAGUGCAAUAAGCACAAUCGCCAGCAUACGGGCCCUAACUAGGUGAUCAAUCAAUUACCAGAUUUAUUCAAUAAUCAGUAAUAGCUACUGCUCAUAUUAACACAUAUAUUAAAUCAGAUACAUCAACAAAGUAACAGAACAUGUAUCAUAUUAAGUAAUAAAUAUGGUAAAGAAGCAUAUAAAAUCUUAAGAUUAAAUGGACAUUACCUUAUCAUGCAUAUAGCCUUAAUAAUAAUAAACUCAUAAUGGAACGUCUAACCCGGUCAGAUACGCAGGAGACCCUCACCAGAAAUAAUCCUCAAAAACCCCGAUAUCAGCUUCCGAGUUACGACCUUAAUUCCGACAACAGAGUGUCACUGCUAAUUCCUCCAAGUCUCAUUUAUGUAGGAAACUGCUCUCUGC